AUGCAAAUGAUGAAAACUUUAUUUUUUGCAUCUGAAAAAUGUGAUGCUUUCAAAGGAACCACUGAUGCAU